rnacentral:tRNA from 1 species
GGCUCGGUAGCUUAGUUGGUAAAGCACUUUUUCUAGCGAAUAAGGGUCGUGAGUUCAAAUCUCACCUGAGCUG